GACAGAGGUGGCAAGCGUUGUCCGGAUUUACUGGGCGUAAAGGGCGUGUAGGCGGUUUCGUAAGUCAGCCGUGAAAUGCGUCGGCUCAACCGAAGCAGGGCGACUGAUACUGCGAGGCUAGAGGAUCGGAGAGGGAAGGGGAAUUCCUGGUGUAGCAGUGAAAUGCGUAGAUAUCAGGAAGAACACCAAUGGCGAAGGCGCCUUCCUGGCCGGUUUCUGACGCUGAGGCGCGAAAGCCAGGGGAGCAAACGGG
rnacentral:rRNA from 1 species